rnacentral:rRNA from 1 species
CCUACGGGCGGCAGCAGUGGGGAAUAUUGGGCAAUGGGCGCAAGCCUGACCCAGCAACGCCGCGUGAAGGAAGAAGGCUCUCGGGUUGUAAACUUCCUUUAAGAGGGACGAGCAGAAGACGGUACCUCUUGAAUAAGCCACGGCGAACUACGUGCCAGCAGCCGCGGUAAUACUGAGGUGGCAAGCGUUGUCCGGAUUUCCUGGGUUUAAAGGGCGUUUUGCCGGGCUGACAAGUCAGAUGUGAAAUCCCGUGGCUCAACCACGGAACUGCAUUUGAAACUGUCGGUCGUGAGUAUCGGAGAGGCAGGCGGAAUGCCUGGUGUAGCGGUGAAAUGCGUAGAUAUUAGGAGGAACACCGAUGGCGAAGGCGGCCUGCUGGACGACAACUGACGGUGAGGCGCGAAAGCGUGGGGAGCAAACAGGAUUAGAUACCCUAGUAGUC